rnacentral:tRNA from 2 species
UAGAAAUUAGUUUUAAUAAAAAUAUUUAGUUGUCAACUAAAAGAUAAAUAGAUUUAAAUUUAUUUUUUU